GAAGGCAGUUUUGAAAUUCCAGCCAAAAAGUCUGUACAGAUUCACAUUUCAAAAACAUAUGAUCAACAGUUUCAAUAUCUUUCUCACAGAACCUGCAUGACUUGUUCUCCCAAUUAAAUCUUUCUUGUAGGAAGUGAUUAGAUGGAUAAAUUUUCUUUUAGAAUUUUAAAUGUUACUUCUUUGGCUUUAGGAAGAACUGGAUAAGUAAAAUAAAGCUUCCUUAUUUUCUUUGCCUCUUCUUCAAUAAAUUCUUGAAGAACAUACUUUCUUUUCAGUUGACUGGGGAAGUACAGUUUGGAUAAUACAUUUCUGAUAAACUUAUUUGUUAAUUUUUUGCUCUUUACAUUUUUACCUUCAGUACAUGAUGGAUAGCAUAGGUGUAACUUAGUUUUUGGUGGCUUGUGGUAAAAUAACGUAGUGAAUAAUGAAAGGACACGAUCGUUUUGUAUGUGUAUUCCUUUAGCAUUUGUUGUAUAAUUUUAAAAAGGUCAUAUGAGGUGGUUGUUUUCAUAUUUAAUUUUUCAUUCACCUCCAGGGAUAGGAUUGGCAUAGAAGAUGCAGCACUCUUUACAUUUUAAAUAUCAAAUGUAUAUCAAGUGUUAUCCAUCCUCAUAACACCUCCACAAAUAGAGACUGGAACUUCUGAGCACCAUCACCUUGUCUGCUUUGGGACUGUCAUAGGAGAAUGAUGCAGUACUAUUCUGUGUUGAAUUUACCUAACGUCAGCACACAGACAUAGUAUUGUUCCAGUUUUGCUGUGCUCAUGUCUUCUUUGUGUCCCCAGCCCAGCAAUCAGAUGCAUCAGAACAACAAAGCACAACUGUGGUGGCCCAGGCACCUUCAGCAACAAGUAAAUUGCUUUAACAUUAAUGAUAAUUAAAUGUCAGUAUUGUAAUUAAACUUGACCCAUCUGACGUAAUAGUUCAUGCCAGAGAUUUGACAACACUGUCAGUCAGGAGCAUAUUUAACAGGAGGCACACUUCAGCUGGCUUGAUGGUGACUUCAGUAAGUGUGGUUGACCCUCUUGUUUUUGUGGCUAUAAUAAUUAGACUAAGUAAUCUCACUCUCUUCCAUUUCCUUAACAUUACCCUUUUUUUUUGUUGAUACUGAACCGGUGCAGUGAAGAUAUUUAAAGAGACACUAUCUAAAGUACAGAAAGCCGUACAUAAUCUUCACAAAGACUGUGGGGCUGGUCACCAGGAAAAUGGGCAACAGGGAGUGCUUUUGGGGUUUUACUCCUCAGAUGACCACCCUGGCUACUGUAGCUGGGAUUGCUUCACAGACAAUGGAGGUCUUCAAGAGUAAAGUGUGCGUGCAUGUGAACACAUUGUGUUAUUACAGUAACAAUUAUGGUCACUUGCAGUUCAUGUGUUUUCAAUGUAGUGUAAGAUGUGUUAAUUAUUAUUAUUACUCAAAAACCAUUAAAACUUCUAAAUUGUGGAAGUUAUUCUUCA